rnacentral:rRNA from 1 species
UACGAAGGGGGCUAGCGUUGCUCGGAAUCACUGGGCGUAAAGCGCACGUAGGCGGAUUGUUAAGUCAGGGGUGAAAUCCUGGAGCUCAACUCCAGAACUGCCCUUGAUACUGGGGAUCUCGAGUCCGGAAGAGGUGAGUGGAACUCCGAGUGUAGAGGUGAAAUUCGUAGAUAUUCGGAAGAACACCAGUGGCGAAGGCGGCUCACUGGUCCGGUACUGACGCUGAGGUGCGAAAGCGUGGGGAGCAAACAGG